UCACAAUACUGAAGUCACGGGUCUGAGAGCGCACGAUCAGAAAUGAGAGUCACGUGAGGCUCUAAACUCAACAUUAUGGCUUCUGAAAACAACAAAAACAUUUUGGACUUGUUAUGAAAUGAUUGUGCUUCGAUGGUGUUAGAAAUACAGUUAAGCAUCCCGGAAGAAUGGGUAUCGGCGUCGUGUUAGCAGCUGUUUCACAGCCCAGUUGCUGACAAGCAGCAAACAGUACAGACAGAGGUUCACCAAGGAGUCUGCAAGGGCCACAGUCUGGUUAACUUACAGAUACAAUGGAGUGGCUUGCACAGGCUUUGGAGAGAGACUUGGGCAUUGAUCAGCGACAGACUGGACCAAGUCAGCGUCCCAAUGAACUGGUUGUCCUGGUCCCAACUCGGUGGGUUAUGGCCCUGAGAAACAAGAGAGUUACUCGCUGUGCCAGGUAUGAGUGUUUUAUCGAAGGGGAAAUCUGCACUCUUCUCCAGCGCUCUCAGAUAAAAUUGCCAUCUGGAUGGACACGUGUUUGUAUCCAAGGCAUCAGGAAGCGUAAACUGGGAUACCGAUUAGCCAGGGAGACUGGCUGCUAUGGAGAGGGGCUCUCCCCGGACUGUUUUAUUACUCUGAUGCAAGGAGUAUCUCAGUCCAAUUUCAGAAAUUUGUGGCGUGAAGCUUACAUGAAUCAUGUGCAGCCGUAUGCAGAUUCCAUUGAGCAGACAAAUGUAUUGGCUAUAGAUGCUGUUCGCCAAGGCUUGCAGAAGCUGUUUUGCUCCAGCUUUAUUUCUACUGAAAGGAUUUCACCAUCCCUAUCUCCAGCCAAAGAGAAGGAGAAGGAGAGUCCAUUACCAUCCAGCUGCUCAGCUCCCAAACAAAAUACUGAAAGUUUGUGUCCAAAUGUGCUCCCUGCAGAAUGCCUGCUUGAGUCCGAGGAGGUUCUAUAUGUGGUUCUUCCAUACACACAGUACACAGUUCAUGACAUUGUCACCUAUAGUCCAGCUAAGCUGGCUAACAGCAAUGCUAAGAUACUGUUCAUUUUAUACCAGCUUCUCAUAGCUAUGCGUGACUGUCAUGCCUCAGGGCUGUUGUGUGGGGAUCUGUCCUUACUUGACAUUGCAAUUGAUGAGCAACUUUGCAGUCGCCUUAAAAUCUCAUUGACACAUUAUGAAAAGUUCGGAGAGUACUGGAGUGCUGUGCCAUGUGAAUUAGAAAGUCAAGUCUUGACAAGUGUAGCGAACGACAAUCAUAACGGUGGUGUUGGUGAAAAGCUCUGCCAAAAUUGUCUGCAUGAGCUCAAGUCUCUCGUGCUAGACUGGGUCCAUGGCAGAGUCAGCAACUUUCACUAUUUGAUGGAAUUAAAUCGACUGGCUGGAAGACGUGAGGGAGACCCAAAUUAUCAUCCAGUAUUACCUUGGGUGGUUGAUUUCACUGUGCCGUGCGGAAGGUUUCGUGAUCUCAAGAAGUCGAAAUUUCGUCUGAAUAAGGGUGACAAACAACUGGACUUCACUUAUGAAAUGACCAAAGAGGCCCUAGCAGCUCAUGGCAGUGGUGGAAUCAAUUUUGUAUCCGAUUUUGUUGGCCCUGUAGGACCUGGUGGGUCAGGACAGUCAGAUCAUCUUCAUGUUCCACAUCAUAUCUCAGAUGUGCUUUCAGAUAUCACCUAUUAUGUCUACAAAGCUAGACGGACACCUAAAUCUGUACUGUGCAGCCAUGUCCGUUCCCAAUGGGAGCCUAAUGAAUAUCCAGCUAGUAUGGAACGUAUUCAGAGUUGGACCCCAGAUGAAUGCAUCCCAGAAUUUUUCACUGAUCCUUCUAUAUUUUGUUCCAUCCACCCAGACAUGCCGGACCUUGACGUACCUUCAUGGUGUAACUCCUACGAGGAGUUUAUUACUGUGCAUAGACAAUUGUUAGAGAGUCGCGAAGUGUCUCAGCAGUUGCACCAUUGGAUUGACCUAACGUUUGGCUACAAGCUAUUGGGUAAAGAAGCUGUCAAAGCUAAGAAUGUCUGCUUGCACUUGGUUGAUAACCACACACAUCUUACCAGCUAUGGAGUCGUGCAACUUUUUGACCAUCCUCACCCCCCUCGUCUGGCGCUUUACCAGUAUUCACCUCCAGAACCUCCUCACUUUGGUCCUGUCAGUGCAACAACAUGGCAGAUUCCACCUCUUGAGACUAUGGGGGAUGGUGUGGAUGGAUUGGUCCCUGAAGCAACAGGAUGUGAAUCCAGUGGCUGGUCAGUUGUAGGCCGAGAUGAAGACCUUGAGCAAGCAAUAGAAGCCCUUGACCUAAGUGGCUCAACAUCAUCAUCUGCUUCUAUUCCAAUCCCCUGGGUUGGCUCCGCUGGUGGAAAGACUGGUGUGGACAAUGUUUCUCCCUCUCAUGGUUCUUACCCUGGUGAAACAGCAGGAAAUGUCAUAAAUUCCUUGGGAUCAGGCAUUAGAGCAUCCAUGCUUCAGAGAGCAGCGUCUGUAAGUAAAAAGCCAGAGGCAUCUAAUUUGGAAGAUUUCAAGAUAAGCCUUCCAGAUGGAUUCAAACCAUUGCAGCCUUUGGAGGAGUUAGAAAAGCUCAACAACUUUCUGGUAAAGGGACUAAAUUCUCAAGUCCAACAAACAGUGGACUUAAGACCUGUACCGAAAACUGUUUUGUCAUACACACACCUUUUCCAGAGGGAUAUGCAAGCCUUCGGUGUACUCAUCUCUGAGAUUUUUUAUUCUUCUAAACUUCGAGGAUUGAGGCCAGGCACAAGUUUGAGCAAUCGUUUUCAAGCAGUGUCAAAGCUAUGCGCUACAAACUUUCGUGAUGUUCCCCUUCCACUCCAACAUGCACUAGAGACACUUUUGCAAGUUCACAAGGAUACUUCUGAGACAUUCACAUUAUACCCUGAAGCACUGCCCUUUCUUUUUAAAUAUGACCCUAUAUAUGAGGGUCUUCCACCACCAAACCCAUGGCAACUGCUUAGUCCUAUUCUUUCCCCUCUGCCUUUUCCGGCAUAUUUUCCAUCUCUGCAUAGAUUCAUAUUUUCCUACCAUUCCAAGAUGGAAUCCGUUAACAGUGUUCAGGGUCGUGACAUUGUGUUCAACUUAUGGCAACAGCUUGAGACACUUCUAAAGGGUGAAAUCACUGCAGAGGGACUUGAAAUCCUUUUACCCUUUGUGCUCUCCUUGAUGUUAGAGGAGUCCACUGCAGUAUACGCUACCUGGUACUUGUUUGAGCCUGUGUCAAGGGUUCUUGGGCCUCGCAAUGCUGCCAAAUAUUUACUAAAGCCUCUUGUAGGGGUAUAUGAGAAUCCCAGAUGCCUUCGAGGCCGCUUCUACCUCUACACAGAUUGCUUUGUGCUACAGCUUAUUAUCAGACUGGGUCUACAGGCCUUUCUUUCCAGCCUUCUUCCACAUGUUCUGCAGGUCAUCACAGGCUUUGAAAGCUGCAGCACAGGUAGAGGGUCUGAAUGGCAGGGCCUGAAGGUUUUAAGGGGAGCUGCUGGUGCCUUAGAUGAGGAAGAGGAGGACUUUGAGUGUGAUGAUGGGAGGUCUGCCACAGCUACAUCAUCUGGCAAAGUUGGAGGAGGCAGUGGAGGUGGUAGUGCUGGGGUUGGUGUUGUUGGAGACCAAGGACUUGUGGAUUACUCUUCAGGAAUCAGUCUUAAUGACCAGGUUUUUCUAAACGAAGGCGAGGACUUUCAAAAUGGCUUUUAUGUGAAUAACAGUACCUCUGGAGCCACAACAGGGGUUGCUUCAAAACAGCAGGGCCAAAGCUCAGCAAACAAAGACCCAGACCAAGAAUCUCUCAGUGUAGGCAAACUGAGUGACAAAAGCAGUGCCAGUGAGGUAUCCACUGGAGACAGAGCAAGUUUAAGGUCUGCUGACAGCAGCCAGGAUCUGAAACAAGCCAGUGAUGGAGAGGAUGGUGGAGAGCUGGAGGAUGAGGAGGAGACCGUGGAAGACCGAGAAAUAACAGUACAAAGGGUUCCCAAUCUAGAAAUGACACUUCCAGUCUGCACAGAGGAGUCUGAGGCGACCGUGGCUACCCUGGAAGGAGAUGUCAUGAACGGAAUGGUGCAUGGAGAUGCUGAGAAAAACAUUGUGGAAGAUGAGAAUGAACAUGAUCCAUUAGAGGACUCUGAGGAGAAAGAACACAAGAUAUUGUUAGACACUGUUUGCAAAACGAUCCGAUGGCUGGCUGCAAAACUGGGGCCAACACUGACAUCUCGAUACAUAGCUAGGAACCUGCUCCGACUCCUUACUACAUGUUAUAUAGGACCUGACAAACACCAGUUUGUGCUUUCUGUGAAUGAAGAGAAUAGCCUUGAGAGUGCUGGAAGUGUGUAUGAGAAGAAGCCAGUUGUUGGCGACCAGACUGCACGACCUGUACUUGAGUCUCUUAUAUACAUAGCACAUCUUUAUGGAGAACCUGUUCUGACCUACCAAUAUCUACCAUACAUUGGUUACCUGGUCUCUCCACCAUCAUCUUGUCGCUUGAACACUCGAAAGGAGGCGGGGCUUUUGGGUGCCGUAGUGCUUACUCAGAAGAUUAUAGUGUUCUUGUCAGACACCACUUUAAUGGACAUGCUGAUGAAGAUUAACCGGGAUGUUUUGCUGCCUCUGCUGGAUUUAUUAACUUCAACCAAGAUGGGAUUUCCAAGUGGAGUGCAGACUCGUUCUGCCGUGUGUUUAAAGACUCUAGGUCUCAUGGCACUGAUCUGCCUGCGUAUUGGGCGGGAGAUGGUACAGCAACAUAUGGCAGAGACCCUUUCCAGGUUCUUCCAGGUUUUCUCCUUGCUGCACAGUCUACAGAGUCAGAUGGCAAGUGCUUCACGUAAGGAGGUUGGAGACUGCACAUACCUGAAUGUGUUCUUUCCAGACGGAACGGAAGUUACUUGUGAGCUUGGAGUAUUGGAAGAACUGCAGGCUGUUUUCAAUCCUGAAAUGGCUUAUGCAUCAUACAUUCCAUUCUACUGUCUCAUUGGUGAUGCAGCGAUUCGCAAACUGGUCCCCAACCACGAAUUGGUUUGGAGCCUGGCUCAAUCAUAUCACGAACGAGCAAGUCCAGGUAGCCCAGAAUCGAACCCGGCUGGAGGUCAGAAAGCAUCUACUGUGGGAUUGUCUCCUAGUGCGGGCCGCCCAAUGGGUCGCAGUCCAUUCCCUGCUCCUUCCUCCACAUCCACACCACUAGGUGGAGACAUUCUGCCAGAGUCUGGCACCUUUGGAAGCCAUCUGGUGGGAAACCGUAUCCAGGUACCUCGGGACACUGAAGUAUGUGGAAGUCCAAACCUGUCCUCAUUGGAAACAUGGGGAAGGCCUUAUGUCAGUCACGCUCCUCAGACAAGUCUGGCUACCACUGGACUUUCCUCAACUGGACCUUCUUUCUCUCUUUCCUCCUCCUGGGUCCUGGGCCCCACCCCAGAGGACAGCGCACUUAAACAAGACCUUCCACGCAGUAGCCGCUCUCUGCAGGGUAACUGGCUUGCGUACUGGCAGUAUGAAAUCGGUCUCAACCAACAGGACUCGCAUUUCCACUUUCACCAGAUCCGUCUUCAGAGUUUCCUAGGCCACUCGGGCACAGCUAAGUGUCUGGCACCACUAGCAGGGGAAGACUACUUCCUUUCUGGGAGUAAAGACAAAACAGUGAAGCUGUGGCCGCUUUAUAACAACGGCGAUGGCACACGAGAGGUCGAAGCUCGGCUUACGUACACAGAUCAUCGCAAAUCUGUGCUUUAUGUUGGCCAGCUGGAAGCCUUACAGGAAGUGGUGAGCUGUGACGGUACUGUGCAUCUCUGGGAUCAAUUCACAGGUAAGAACAUACGUUGCUAUGAAUCUCUGGAUGGGAAAAACCCGAUCACAGCUGUCACGACUAUGCCCGCUCCUCACUGCAGUGUAGUGUUUGCUAGCGCCGACUCUGUUCUCCGAUUUAUAGAUCCACGCAAACCUGGCCUGCAGCAUGAGUUUCGUCUAGCCUGCAGUAACGUGAGUGCAGGGCUCAUCCGCUGCCUGGCCGUCAGCCCUGGGGGACGCACCGUGGCUGCAGGUUUCUCUACCGGAUUCAUAGUACUGCUGGAUGCAAGGACAGGCCUUGUGCUGAGAGGCUGGCAUGCUCAUGAGGGCGAUAUACUGCAAAUGAAAGCAGCAGAGGGAAAUUUGCUGAUAAGUUCCUCUUCUGAUCACACAUUGACUGUUUGGAAAGAUGUGGAGCAGAAGCCACUGCACCUGUACAGAACCCCGUCCGACCCCAUCCAUGCCUUUGGUCUUUACGGUUCUGAAAUUGUGGCGGGCACUGUUGCCAACAAGAUUGGGGUAUACUCCAUUCUGGACAACACGGCCAGCCUGGCAGGAUCCACCAAGCUGAGCACAGAGAACUUUCGUGGUACACUCACAUGUCUGUCCGUACUGCCCACCAAGAGGCUUUUACUGCUCGGCUCAGAUAACGGUGCCAUCAGGCUGCUGGCUUAAACAAACUUUUAAGACACUGGUAUUGUGUUGGUUUUUUCAGAGGAGUACAUUCUCCCUGUGCCACCAUUGGCUCUUUCCCCAGAAUGAAACAAGCUUGCCAACCAUGCACAAUGAAACCUGUUUCAGUCAAAGAGGGAGCAAGAGUGAUAUUUCCAUUUUAACUUUGCUAAAAGAGUACUUAACCUCACUUUUGUAAGUGACUUAAACUGAAUAUUGCCUAUAAUAUAUACAAUCAAUUAUCAUUAUUUUUUACAAUUUUUAGGGUUUAUGCAUAACCACACUAGCUGCUGUAUGUAAUAAUCAACUGUAAAUUCUCUUCAAAUAGACUAACAAAUGAGUUGCUCAGGAUCUAAGUGUGAGUCUAGUGUAGUGUUUACACUUCCCAUAUUGAGUGAAAUCUCCAAAAAAAAAACAUCACUGUGAGAAUCGCAGUUCGUAUCAUGUUAAUAUGAUUCAUCAUAUAUGAUUCAAUUCAUCAGUGCUCAGCAACUAUGCAGUGUUCAUGGUAGACAUUUGUAGUGCUCCAUGUUUGGCACCUUUUUCUAUACAAUGCAGUAAAUUUCUACAUCCACAUCCAUGUAUUAUUGAGCAUUGACCGUUUUGAUCAAAAUGUUACCCUGGUCAAGUCCAAUAUGACUUACUGUACACUGAGUCUGAACUUUAGAUAUGCAAUGGGGACAGUGCAGAAUCCUAUCUACUACUAGAAUAUAUACAGUAUAUAUAGAUAAAUUUGAAGCUGUAUUAACCUUGAAUAAUGUAGUAAUUUACCACUGUUUGUCAAUCCCUCGUCAAAUGACAUGUUACAUUUUACACAUCAAUAUCUUUGUAUAUACAGCACAACACAACAUUAUAUAUGUAUAUAUUUAUAUAUCUUUCUUGAGCCUAAUGCUUGUCUAUAACUUAAAUACUUUUAUGCAGCAUUUACUAGAUCAGCUACAGUUGACACGACCUAGUAAUUAACCAGUUUAAUUUAUUAAAAGUUUUCAGACAUUCCAGUUCUAUAAUGUUAGAAUAUCUUGAAAGACAUAUUGGCCACUGCACAUUUAUUUAUUUCUCAUUUAAUUCACUACUUAACUGUCUGUAACCAAGUAAUGGGCAGGCUUGGCUUUUAAUUUGAGUACUCAUAUCAAUACUUUUUUUUUAAUUAUUAGUAAUCAGUGAAAACAGAAACCUACAAAUAUUAUCCCUUCACAUUUUGUACCAUUUUUCAAAAUUAAUUUAGUUAAAUUUUACUUUUUUUAUAUCCAACAAUAUAUUCUCUGAAAAAUAUAUAUAUAUAUUUUUUUUGAAAGAUCAUUUAGUAUUGACAGACAUCUGUCUUUGGAACACACAACACAUUAUCUGUAAUAACAUUGGCCAUUGCUUUUUGUAUUUCAAUGCAAAUAUUUUUUCUUUUUUACUUUUAAAGUGACUUUUUUUCUAUAUGCUCACUAAAAUGAACAUUUUCAGUGACUGAAAGAAAUGUGUUCAGAAAUGCAUCUGACUUUUUACACAACGUAAAGCUUUUAAAACGAAAUUACAAGCCACAUGAAAGUGUAAAAGGACUAGUUGAUUGGCUCUGUUUAUUGAUGAAAGGUUUUAAUGUUUGUGUUUAGAACCAGGGCACCAUGUUUCUCUAAAAGGCCAGAGUCCAUGUGAGUGUUUGCAAUGUAAUGCCUUUCAACAGCUCUCAAUUUUGAAAUUUUGGCAGAUGCCUCCGGACAACCCAAGGCAAUGGUGAAACCAUCACUGGUUUAAGUUUCUGGCAUAGGUACGUACCAAGAGCUAUAUGAGGUAAAGAUCAAUAAAAGUUGAAAUGUAACUGCCCACUUUGAGACUGUCGACCCCUACAGCAAAGAAUUUUCCAAUUGCCUAUUUGAUGCGUUUCUUUCCCAUCAGGGCUGGAUCCCAC